UAGGGAAUAAAAUACUGGAUUCGUACGGGAAAGAAUCUGGUGCUGCCAUUCAAUGAACUCCCCAGAUGCUGCCAUUCAAUGAACUCCCCAGAGCCAUAGCUUCCCAUUCACUUUGUUUUUUCUUCUAUUAGAUUAUUGUUCAAUAUCAAUUCCUUUUCAACAAUUAAGAUAUGGUUUUGUAAUAUUUCAUGGUCACUGAACCCUUUAGGGUGAGAAGCAUGCUAAUGAUGGGUCCAAAAUGUUUC
rnacentral:lncRNA from 1 species